UUUGGGUCAUUUGGUGAUUGUCUUCUUGCAUCUACUCAUUUCUAGGAGCGAGCUCCGGUAGACUCCGAUAUCAGGACGGUACGAUACAAUGGCGGCGUGGGCGGCAGCAGCACGUCAAGCAGCGAACUUAUCUCGAUUCUCCGCUUCCAAAUCAGUUAGUACAACGAAGCAAGGUGCCUUGCUUAUCCAGCGGCGUGGUCUUGCCGGUGGUGGUGAUCAUCAUGGACCUCCAAAGGUGAACUUUUGGCAGGAUCCGAUGAGUCCAUCAAAAUGGAAAGAAGAGCACUUUGUGAUCGUCUCUCUUACUGGUUGGGGAUUGGCCUUCUACGGAGGUUAUAAGCUCUUCACAAAGGGAAACAAAGAGAAGAAGGAAGAGAAAGUUGGUGAAGGAUCGCACUGACAGUGGAAGAAGAAGGAAGAGAAAGUUGGUGAAGGAUCGCACUGACAGUGGAAGAAGAAGGAAGAGAAAGUUGGUGAAGGAUCGCACUGACAGUGGAUGCGUCUCUCUGAUCUCCUUGAAUAAAGCAGCUGUUAGGGCUCUGCGGUUUAAAAUUUUUGCCAUGAGUGUUAAAUGGUUUCCCCCCAUUUCCUCCACCUCUCUUAUUGGACUGAAUUGCGCAUGAAAUGCUGGACAACUAGCUAUGUAUUUUUCCCCCUUGUAGAAUGUCGGCCCAUUUAGAAACUCUCUGCUUACUAAGGCUGUGGUGUUUCUUUCUUUUGAAGCAAAUUUAGUUAUUCAUUUGCAUAAUGACCAUGAGUACGUCGAGGAGACGAGCCACAUUGUUUUUCUCA